GGUUAAAAAGCUCGUAGUUGGAUUUCUGUCGAGGGCGGCCGGUCCGCACUAUGUGCGUGUAUCUGGUUCGGUCUUGGCAUCCUCUUGGGGAACGUUUCUGUGCUUGAGUGCAUGGCGGCGGAAUUCAAGACUUUUACUUUGAGGAAAUUAGAGUGUUCACGGCAAGCUAUCGCUUUGAAUACAUUAGCAUGGAAUAAUAAUAUAGGGCGUAAGUUCUAUUUUGUUGGUUUCUAGGACAUACGCAAUGAUUAAUAGGGAUAAUUGGGGGCAUUCGUAUUAACGCGUCAGAGGUGGAAUUCUUAGAUUGCGUUACGACGAACUACUGCGAAAGCAUUUGCCAAGGAUGUUUUCAUUGAUCAAGAACGAAAGUAUGGGGAUCGAAGACGAUUAGAUACCGUCGUAGUCUAUACCAUAAACUAUGCCAACUAGGGAUUGGAGGUCGUUCUUUUUAUGACUCCUUCAGCAUCUUAUGAGAAAUCAAAGUCUUUGGGUUCCGGGGGGAGUAUGGUCGCAAGGCUGAAACUUAAAGGAAUUGACGGAAAGGCACCACCAGGAGUGGAGCCUGCGGCUUAAUUUGACUCAACACGGGAAAACUUACCAGGUCCAGACAUAGUAAGGAUUGACAGAUUGAUAAGCUCU
rnacentral:rRNA from 1 species